rnacentral:rRNA from 1 species
GUUGUUUGGACCCGAAGCCGCCUGGCCAACCCGCRAGGGAAGUAAGCGUCUARGGUCUGGACAGUGACUGGGGUGAAGUCGUAACAAGGUAGCYGUAGGUGAACCUGCAGAAGGAUCA